rnacentral:rRNA from 1 species
GAUGAACGCUGGCGGCGUGCUUAACACAUGCAAGUCGAGCGAAGCACUUAGGAAAGAUUCUUCGGAGGAUUUCCUAUUUGACUGAGCGGCGGACGGGUGAGUAACGCGUGGGUAACCUGCCUCAUACAGGGGGAUAACAGUUAGAAAUGACUGCUAAUACCGCAUAAGACCACAGCACCGCAUGGUGCAGGGGUAAAAACUCCGGUGGUAUGAGAUGGACCCGCGUCUGAUUAGUUAGUUGGUGGGGUAACGGCCUACCAAGGCGACGACCAGUAGCCGACCUGGGAGGGUGACCGGCCACAUUGGGACUGAGACACGGCCCAAACUCCUACGGGAGGCAGCAGUGGGGAAUAUUGCACAAUGGGGGAAACCCUGAUGCAGCGACGCCGCGUGAGCGAAGAAGUAUUUCGGUAUGUAAAGCUCUAUCAGCAGGGAAGAAAAUGACGGUACCUGACUAAGAAGCCCCGGCUAACUACGUGCCAGCAGCCGCAGUAA